rnacentral:rRNA from 1 species
UACGUAGGUGGCAAGCGUUGUCCGGAUUACUGGGCGUAAAGAGCGCGCAGGCGGUCGUGCAAGUCGCGUGUGAAGCCCCGGCUCAACUGGGAGGUCACGCGAUACUGCUCGACUCGAAGGCAGAGAGGAAGUGAAUUCCGGUGUAGUGGUGAAAUGCGUAGAUAUCGGAGGAACACCAGUGGCGAAGCGACUUCUGCCUGUUCUGACGCUGAGCGC